rnacentral:ncRNA from 1 species
GGCUGUGUCCGAGGCGAUUUGUCCACCGGAUUGCGGGCCUCGUGAAAUAUUCCGCUAAAGAGGUCAGGGUAGGCGGGGC